rfam:Oryza brachyantha chromosome 9, whole genome shotgun sequence.
GAUUGGCAGGAAUUAUGAAUCAAUUAUAUGUGCAAAGUCUCCUUAUGAGCUUAACUUUUGAGGCAUACAUUCUGCUGACCUGCCAAUC